GCAGCAGGCACGCAAAUUACCCACUCCCGGCACGGGGAGGUAGUGACAAAAAAUAACGAUACGGGACUCUAUUGAGGCCCCGUAAUCGGAAUGAGUACACUUUAAAUCCUUUAACAAGGAUCCAUUGGAGGGCAAGUCUGGUGCCAGCAGCCGCGGUAAUUCCAGCUCCAAUAGCGUAUAUUAAAGUUGUUGCGGUUAAAAAGCUCGUAGUUGGUUCUGCGUGCCGCGCUGUCGGUUCGCCGCCUGUCGGUGUAACUGGCAUGUCGCGGCAUGUCCUGUCGGUGGUGAACGGGAUCCCCGGUGCUGUUUAGGCUUAAUUGCCGAAGCAUGCACCGUGUGUUUUUCCGUUUGCCGAUCUCUCCUACUCCGGUGCUCUUAAACGAGUGUCGAGGUAGGCCGACACGUUCACUUUGAACAAAUUAGAGUGCUUAAAGCAGGCUGAAAUAUCUGCCUGAAUAGUGGUGCAUGGAAUGAUAAAACAGGACCUCGGUUCUAUUUUGUUGGUUUUAGGAAUAUGAGGUAAUGAUCAAUGUGGACUGGCGGGGGCAUUCGUAUUGCGACGUUAGAGGUGAAAUUCUUGGAUCGUCGCAAGACGCACUAGAGCGAAAGCAUUUGCCAAGUAUGUCUUAAUUGAUCAAGAACGAAAGUUAGAGGUUCGAAGGCGAUCAGAUACCGCCCUAGUUCUAACCAUAAACGAUGCCAGCCAGCGAUCCGCCGAUGUUCCUUUAAUGACUCGGCGGGGAGCUUCUACUCGGGAAACCAAAGCUUUUGGGUUCCGGGGGAAGUAUGGUUGCAAAGCUGAAACUUAAAGGAAUUGACGGAAGGGCACCACCAGGAGUGGAGCCUGCGGCUUAAUUUGACUCAACACGGGAAACCUCACCAGGCCAGGACAUUGGAAGGAUUGACAGAUUGAUAGCUCUUUCUUGAUUCAGUGGGUAGUGGUGCAUGGCCGUUC
rnacentral:rRNA from 1 species